ACCCUUUGCAGUUGCCCACUCCAACCCUAUAUUCAUAACUGUCGGCUUCGGCCGGCUAUGGCGAUAAACGCCCUGCUUGUUAGGCGUAACGGACCCGGGGGCAGUACCCGGCGCCUCCACCAAUUCUCGCGGGUCAUGGCCCGCUUCUUGGGGGCGAAACAGGAUCGACGUGCGUUGAAAGGCUUGGCUUUUGCUCGGCAUGGUACCACCGUCAUCGGGCCGUUCCAAAAGUGCCAAUGACAACCAUGAGUUGGCUCUCGCUGCCUAGCUAUAGGUAAGCGCGGCCCGGGGGGCGCCGGGCAACAGAAGCCCCCCACC
rnacentral:tmRNA from 1 species